rnacentral:lncRNA from 1 species
UCUGCAGGGAGCGCGUGUGGGCAGUGGAGCGCGUGAGGGUGGGUGAGGAUUAGUUUCGAUUUUUUUUUUCUCUGUGUGAGCGCUGAGCGGUGGGGGUAUAUAUAGAGAUAGAGAGAUGAUAUAUAAGUGAUUUUGUCUAUAAUUUAUUUUUUUAUUCGCUAUUUGGGAGGGAGCAUGCAUCGAGGUAGAUGGAAGGGUAAAAAUAUAUAUUUUUUGCAACCUAUAUUAGCUGUUGUUAGCUUGGUUAGGAUGGUUAAUGAGACAUAUUUCUUAGCUAGGUGCCAAGCUAAUAAUUACCUAUUGACAGGAUGGGGGUUUGGAACCACCAUAGAUAUUUUUUUAGCAACCAACUCUUAGUUGGAUCUAAAUGAUAUCUUAUUAAUUGUUCACAGCUAAUAUUGGGUGGCUAAUUAUUAGUUGACAGUUCUCUGGAUCCACCAGCUAAUAUAAAAUAUGGAUGCAUAUGUGAUUUUGUCUAUAAUAUCCUUUCAUUUUUAUUUACUACUAUGAGGGACACAUUCUACUAAAGGUAGGUGGGGCUGGUGGGGAAGGGGGUAAAAUUGACUUUUCACAUUCUAUGAGCUAGAUUGGGAGAGAGCAAGAUAGUUCUUAGCUAGCUGUUUAGCUAACAAUUAGCUAGUAUUGGUUGGCUAAUUAUUAGUUGACAGUUGUCUGGAUCCACCAGCUAAUAUAAAAUAUGGAUGCAUAUGUGAUUUUGUCCAUAAUAUCCUUUCAUUUUUAUUUACUACUAUGAGGGACAUGUUUUACUAAAGGUAGGUGGGGAGGGUCUGAGGGUAAAAUUGACUUUUCACAUUCUAUGAGCUAGAUUGGGAGAGUGCAAGGUAGUUCUUAGCUAGCUGUUUAGCUAACAAUUAUCUAGUAUUGGCUGGCUAAUUAUUAGUUGACAGUUGUCUGGAUCCACUAGCUAAUAUAAAAUAUGGAUGCAUAUGUGAUUUUGUCUAUAAUAUCCUUUCAAUUUUAUUUACUACUAUGAGGGA